GAUGAACGCUGGCGGCGUGCCUAAUACAUGCAAGUCGAACGAAGUCUUCGGACUUAGUGGCGGACGGGUGAGUAACACGUGGGAACGUGCCUUUAGGUUCGGAAUAACUCAGGGAAACUUGUGCUAAUACCGAAUGUGCCCUUCGGGGGAAAGAUUUAUCGCCUUUAGAGCGGCCCGCGUCUGAUUAGCUAGUUGGUGAGGUAAAGGCUCACCAAGGCGACGAUCAGUAGCUGGUCUGAGAGGAUGAUCAGCCACAUUGGGACUGAGACACGGCCCAAACUCCUACGGGAGGCAGCAGUGGGGAAUCUUGCGCAAUGGGCGGAAGCCUGACGCAGCCAUGCCGCGUGAAUGAUGAAGGUCUUAGGAUUGUAAAAUUCUUUCACCGGGGACGAUAAUGACGGUACCCGGAGAAGAAGCCCCGGCUAACUUCGUGCCAGCCGCCGCCGUAACAC
rnacentral:rRNA from 1 species